UCUUUUAUCACACAAAUAAUGUCUUUUUAAUAGUGAUUUUUUUCUAAUUGAUAUAUUAUGUACUUUUCAUUCACUAAUUAUUAAUUGCUUACAUUUGAAGUGUUUUAUGAAUUAAUAUUUACUUGCAUAGAUGAAGAUGACUAGUCAUAGGCAUUUUUACUAACCAAUACUCAUUAAGCAUAGCAUGGACUCAUGUGAUGUCAAGGAGCUAUUUUAUUUGGUAAAAGGAAAAAGCCCAAGAAUGAAUGCAAGAACUGAAACAGUGGAGACACCUAGCAUGACUUGUCUAAGAUCUAAAUCAUUUUGUUGUCUUCCCAGUGUACUUAUCCUGAUCAUUGUCAUCAGCAUUGAUUUGGUCAUUUUAGCACAGAUUUCUCAAAAUGGGUAACUCCAUAACAGUUGGAAGCUUAUGAAUUCAUAUAAUUUGUAAGAGCACAAUUUGGGAGUACCUAUUUUAAAAUUCUAAUAACCUGGUAAUUUCAUCCACGUCUAGAGUAUUUUAUGUAAAAUAUUUCCACAAUUAGGAGAAAUAUGUGCAUGGGGAUUUUCUAUGUAGCAGUGUUUUAAUAGAAUAGAAAAUUGGGACAAACCAAAUUUCCAUCACAAAGGAAAUAGUAAUACACUGAAUAGUAAUACAGCAAAUAUUAUGCAGGCUUUAAACAUCAAAAAGGAGCUCAACUUCUGACUUCCGAUGACGGUGUCGAAGUAGGUCACAGCUGGUUUACAUUUGAUUUUCAUGUGGGAACUCUGGAAGUCUGCCUUAGUGAUUUUACAUGUAGCUAAAUUUAGCGAAUGAAAAGCUAUUCGAAGUAUGGCAAAAUGGAACUUUAAAACAGUAUCUUGUCAACAACCAAGAGGACCUGUUUCACAUAAAGCCCACGCAUUCAUCUGCCUGUCCAUCAUUCUGUCUGUCCACACGGGCAUCAUUCGUUAGUGGAACUGAGUGCCCACUGUCGAGCUGACAAGCCCAUAACCUCCCUGUUUCUAGUCACACAUUAAUUCUUCGACAAAUCCCUUUUGAUAGAUUGUGAUUAAGCUUAGCUGCUAUUUCCAAUUGCUUCCCCAAACGUACUUCUCACUGUUCUCCCAUCACACCCUUCAGCCCAUCCAUGCAGGUUUCCUUUGCUUUUCUCACCUUACACCAAACUCCCUAUUUUUACUCCCACUUUUACCUCCUCUCCAAGACAAAACAAACAAAACUAGCAUUUUAAAACUUAGUUGUAAUCUUUCUUCCUUCAUGAAAAUUUCUCCAACAGCCACUCCCAUGGCCCUGUGUGUUCCGGAUUUUUUUAAAUAUUGGCUAUAAGGUUGAGCAAGUCAGGAUAUGCUUUUUUGGGGUGCACACUGUUUUGUUUGUAUUGAUUCUUCCUAUUGGAGGCGUGGUCAUUGCCUUCUCCUCUGGGGAGUUUAUGCCAGUGCUCUUCAAUAAGAUUGGCAGGCAAUUUUUCUUUUUGUACUUAAUUUUUUGUAUGGUAUUGAGAUAAUAUUCUCAUCAGAUUAAUUGAAAGUAGCCCCCUUCAUUAAUUUUAUGGAAAUAUUUUAAUUGGAUUAGAAUGACAACUCCACUGUAAUUUUGGAUUUAGCCAAUAAUACUAUUAGGGCUCUGUGUGUGAGAGAGAAAAAGAGAGAAAGGGAAAGAAAGAGACAAAGACCGAUACUUCUUAACUACUGAUUAAAUUUACAUAGAAGCUACUGAACUAUUCAGGAUUUUUAUUUCUUCAUGAGUUCAUUUUAGAAAAUUAUACUUUCUAGGAUUUUGUCUAUUUUGUACACAUUUUAAAAUGUCUUGGCAUGAUAUCCAUAUUCAUAUAUGUUUACAUACAUAAUGAAUACAUAUGUAGAUUUGAAUACAUAUAUUUAUUCAUAAUAUCCACUGAUUGUUUUGUAAUCUCUGCUACUUCUGUGGUUAUGUCUUCCUAUGAAUUUCUGAUAUGAAUUUUGAUUAUUUCCCUUUUUUCUUGAUAAAUCUCACUAAUGACUUUUGUAUUAGACUUUUCUGGAAAACAACUGUUGGCUUUGUUACUUCUCCCUAGUAUUGUCCUUAUUUUCUAUUUCAUCAAUUUCUCUUCUCAUCUGUUAUCCUUCCAUUACAUUAUCUGCAUUUAUUCUGAUGCUACUUUUUUCUAACUUGAGUUGUAUGCUUAAUUAACUUUCAGCCUUUCUGAGUUUCCAGCGUAAACAACUAAGCUUAUAGAUUGCUCUCACAUAAUGCUCUUUGCUGCAUCUCACAAUUUUCAGUUUGCACACAUUUUAUUAUUUAUUCAUAAGAAUUAUCUAAUUGCAUUAUGAUUUUUAUUGACAUUCAAGUUUAGAAGUAUGCUCUACAUUUUCUAAUGUUGCAACCAAUGGUCUUGUGCACCAGUCUUUUCAAUUUUUGCCAGUCUCCUUCAGGAUGGAUUUUAAGAUGUUGGAUUGUAGGUCAAAGUGUUACUGCUUUGCAACUUUGCUAAAUGUUGCCAAAUUCCUCUCCACAAGUGCCUAAUGGGGCUUUCUUAGCAACAAUGUGUGUACAGCCACACUAACAUAGUUACAUGUGAAACUUCUAAAAUUUUGUCUCUAAAGUGGUAUUGAGGUGAUUUUUAAAAUUUUUUCAAUGAGAUUAAAAGCCAUUUCUGUUUUUUCCUUUAUAUUGUUUGUUCACGUCUCUAACAUGCUUACAUGUGAUUGUUGGUAGUCUUCUUCCCUAUAUUUAGAGACUUGUUACAUUUUAAGUAUAUUAAAACCUUUGUGAUAUGCCUGGCCGUGUUUUUUUUUCCGGUUUACCAUGUAUCUUUUGCACUUUUUUAAAUUGAACUUCAUGUCACACUGAGGUUUUCUAUUUUUAUGUAAUAAAACAUUAUAAUUUCAUUGUGUUCUCUGGGGUGGUUCUACCACUUUCAAGGCUGCUGUUGACUUUCUACAGUAAUAUGUGUGGCAUUGAUGUAGAGCAGCCAAUGUCUCCCAUGUUUUGUAAUAAUUGAUCUUUCUUUGUUUCAGAUAACCCUGAGAAAUAUAUUGACUGACUGUCUCCACAGGGCUUAUGAUUUCUUCUCGGGUUUGAAACAUGCCCCCAGAUGAGCAAGACGGGGCUGCCACAUUGACGGAGCAGCUGCGGGACACACCCAAGAAACCUCCUGGAGAACACAGGGGACAUUCACGGCUGGAGGCUUCAUCUAUGGCCGGGGGCUUCAUCCAUGAGCUGGGGACUUCAUCCAUGGGCUGGGGACUUCAUCCAUGACUGGGGACCUCAUCCACGUCUGGAGACUUCAUCCGCGACUGGGGGCUUCAUCCAUGGGCUGGGGGAUUCAUCCACGGGCUGGGGGCUUCAUCCAUCACUGGGGGCUUCAUCCACGGGCUGGGGGCUUCAUCCAUGACUGGGGGCUUCAUCCACGGGCUGGGGGCUUCAUCCAUGGGCUGGGGGCUUCAUCCAUGACUGGGGGCUUCAUCCACGGGCUGGGGGCUUCAUCCAUGACUGGGGACUUCAUCCACGACUGGAGACUUCAUCCAUAGGCUGGGGGCUUCAUCUACAGCUGGAGACUUCAUCCACAGCAGGGGCUUCAUCCUUGGUUGGUUUGCCUGAUCUGUAUCUGACCUAACGUUGUCCGGUCUGCAGAUGGCGGCGGCUGCUGAGGGAGCUCCUUCCCCUCCUCCCGCCUACCCUGCUAGGGCUAGGCCACAGAUACACAGGGCGAGUGGGAGUGUCUAGGGGAGAAGAUUUUAUUUCAC
rnacentral:lncRNA from 1 species